rnacentral:rRNA from 1 species
CCCUAUCGAGCUUUACUGGAUACCGAUAGCGUUAAUUUAGAAUGAUCGAUACUAAGUAUCCUAAUUCUAAGUUAAUAAUUUUUGUUGGUAGGACAGUUUAGUUGGGGCGACUACCUUUGAAUAAGAAACGAAGGCGAGCUUAUGGUAUUAUUAAAAUCUCAUUAGCCUCCCAGUGAGGGGGACACCCCUAGCUGGCACAAGCCCUCAUAGUAUAUUAUAUGCGGAAGGGAUGUGGGCGAUAGUGACCCGAUAUGAUUAUCCAAAAUAAAUAUCGAAAGCGGAUAAAAGCUACCGUAGGG